UACGUAGGGUGCAGGCGUUAAUCGGAAUUACUGGGCGUAAAGCGUGCGCAGGCGGUUUCUUAAGUCAGAUGUGAAAGCCCCGGGCUUAACCUGGGAACUGCGUUUGAAACUGGGAGACUUGAGUGUGGCAGAGGGGGGUAGAAUUCCACGUGUAGCAGUGAAAUGCGUAGAUAUCGGGAGGAACAUCAGUGGCGAAGGCGGCCUUCUGGUCCAGUACUGACACUCAAGUGCGAAAGCGUGGGGAGCAAACAGG
rnacentral:rRNA from 1 species